rnacentral:misc_RNA from 1 species
GUCUCUAUCAACCACUCUAUGUAGUAGCUGAGAAAUACCCAUCCAAAAGCUGACUGGAAGGUGAUACUUGAAGUGACUGAUCAAUGCUGAACUUACGUCACAAGCAAAUUUCUGGAACUCUGGCUUCACCACCAAGCGAAUCAGCAUUGCUGACCACAAAUCCGGAGCCAAUUUCACUGCACGUCCUAGGGAAUGAAACCCACUCAACACCCUAACCAUAAUACCAUGUUCCUCAUAUCCAAAUAAACGUCUCGCUCGAAGCUUCUCAUCAAGAAGAUUAUUUAGAAAUUCAUCUUGAUAGAAAACAUCAGCUGCUUUAACUAUGUCUCUGACAAGGAAU